rnacentral:rRNA from 1 species
ACUCCUACGGGAGGCAGCAGUAGGGAAUCUUCCGCAAUGGACGAAAGUCUGACGGAGCAACGCCGCGUGAACGAUGAAGGCUUUCGGGUCGUAAAGUUCUGUUGUUAGGGAAGAACAAGUACCGGAGUAACUGCCGGUACCUCGACGGUACCUAACCAGAAAGCCACGGCUAACUACGUGCCAGCAGCCGCGGUAAUACGUAGGUGGCAAGCGUUGUCCGGAAUUAUUGGGCGUAAAGCGCGCGCAGGCGGUUCCUUAAGUCUGAUGUGAAAGCCCCCGGCUCAACCGGGGGAGGGUCAUUGGAAACUGGGGAACUUGAGUGCAGAAGAGGAGAGCGGAAUUCCACGUGUAGCGGUGAAAUGCGUAGAGAUGUGGAGGAACACCGGUGGCGAAGGCGGCCCCCUGGACAGAUACUGACACUCAGAUGCGAAAGCGUGGGGAGCAAACAGGAUUAGAUACCCGUGGUAGCGACUGA